UCGAAAUGCUCUUCGCUCUGGGCCUCUUCUUCCGGCCCGUGACCGUCCCGUCGCUGACUCUGACUUGGCCACCGCUGCAAGCUUGCAACGACCUGAGUCUCCGCACCGUCUCCGGCGCACCACGUCUCUCCAGUCUCCACCAUGGCCCAGGCUCCGGGGCGCGCCGCUUCCGCCGUGCGUCUCUUCGACGCCCACUGCCACCUGCAGGACCCCCGCAUCGCGGCGGCCGCCCCCACCAUCAUACGCGCCGCGACAGCCUCCGGCGUCGCCCGAUUCGCUGUCAACGGCACCUCCGAGAAAGACUGGCACCUUGUCAAGCAGAUGGCCCAGGAGCACCCAUCCGUCGUCCCCUGCUUCGGCCUCCACCCAUGGUGGGUACCGGAGAGGUCGCCCGAUUGGAUGGAUUCGCUCCGGCGGUUCUUCUCGGAGACCCCAGAAGCGGCUGUUGGCGAGAUUGGUCUGGACAAAGGCUCGCACGGCAAAACUAUUGACUUUGGAGAACAGGUUGAAGUAUUCCAACGACAACUUGAACUUGCUAAGGAGUUGGAGAAACCUGUUUCUGUUCAUUGUGUACGUGCCUUUGGUGAUCUACUGGAAAUACUAAAGCAAUCUGGGCCUUUCCCAGCAGGUGUGCUGCUGCAUUCCUAUAUGGGAUCUGCAGAAAUGGUGAUCAGCCUUGCAAAUUUAGGUUGUUACUUUUCGUUGUCUGGUUUCCUUACAGGCCUGAAAUCCACUAAGGCAAAGCAAAUUCUGCAAGCAAUACCCUUGGACAAAAUUCUGUUAGAGACAGAUGCACCGGAUGCUUUACCAAAGAUGGACGAUGUUUCUCUGUCAACAGUCCUUGUUGACAGUUCAGGCGCAGAUGGUUAUAAGUGCCACAGAGAUGCAAAUUCUCAGGCAGCUACUUCUUCAAAUGAAUCCUUGAACCAUCCAGCUAAUAUCCACAUUGUUCUGAAGUUUGUGGCAUCACUACUGGAAAUGCCAGAGACAACACUGGCCGAGAUGAGCUACAAGAAUGCUAUCCAACUCUUUUCUUACCCUGGAUCCAAAGUCCACCCUGAAGCUGAAACUGUCUGAUUGGGGUGGCCAUCCAAUUUGAAACAUGUUCAUCUGAAUCCUGCUAUAUAUCCAAGGAUGGUGGGAGAAUAUGCACGCACAAAAUGCUUCAUACAUAUAUCUCCUCGAAAUAACAUGCAGCUUGUUGGAUUUUUGCACGGUAUCAUUCCUUAUGAUAUUUUGACAGAAGUGCCACAGCGCGCCUGUUGGUUCAAAAGAAUGUGCUAUCAAAUUCCUCGUAUUUAUUGCUUCCAUAUGCCUCGAUUUGUUUUGGAAACAAUAUAAGUAUUAUUUUGCACUUGCAUUC